AGCGAACGCUGGCGGCAGGCUUAACACAUGCAAGUCGAACGGUCCUUCGGGAUAGUGGCGGACGGGUGAGUAACACGUGGGAACGUACCCUUAGGUUCGGAACAACACAGGGAAACUUGUGCUAAUACCGGAUAAGCCCUUCGGGGGAAAGAUUUAUCGCCUUUGGAGCGGCCCGCGUCUGAUUAGCUUGUUGGUGAGGUAAUGGCUCACCAAGGCUACGAUCAGUAGCUGGUCUGAGAGGAUGGCCAGCCACACUGGGACUGGGACACGGCCCAGACUCCUACGGGAGGCAGCAGUGGGGAAUCUUGCGCAAUGGGCGAAAGCCUGACGCAGCCAUGCCGCGUGGAUGAUGAAGGUCUUAGGAUUGUAAAAUCCUUUCACCGGGGACGAUAAUGACGGUACCCGGAGAAGAAGCCCCGGCUAACUUCGUGCCAGCCGCCGCCGUAAAAC
rnacentral:rRNA from 1 species